CCUACGGGUGGCAGCAGUGAGGAAUAUUGGUCAAUGGCCGGAAGGCUGAACCAGCCAUGCCGCGUGAAGGUCAGUGCCCUAUGGGCGUUAAACUUCUUUUGUGCGGGAGCAAUAAUGGUCACGUGUGGCCAGACGAGAGUACCGUACGAAUAAGCAUCGGCUAACUCCGUGCCAGCAGCCGCGGUAAUACGGGGGGAGCAAGCGUUAUCCGGAUUUAUUGGGUUUAAAGGGUGCGUAGGCUGUGAGGUAAGUCAGCGGUGAAAUGCCCCCGCUCAACGGGGUGAAGUGCCAUUGAUACUGCCUUGCUGGAGUGCGGAUGCGGUGGGAGGAAUGUGUGGUGUAGCGGUGAAAUGCAUAGAUAUCACACAGAACACCGAUUGCGAAGGCAGCUCACGAAUCCGCGAUUGACGCUGAUGCACGAAAGCGUGGGUAUCAAACAGGAUUAGAUACCCUGGUAGUC
rnacentral:rRNA from 1 species